rnacentral:rRNA from 1 species
GACGAACGCUGGCGGCGUGCUUAACACAUGCAAGUCGAACGGUGACCCAGGGCUUGCCCUGGUGAUCAGUGGCGAACGGGUGAGUAACACGUGGGCAACCUGCCCCUGACUUCGGGAUAACUCCUCGAAAGAGGAGCUAAUACCGGAUACGACCACUUCGGACAUCCGAUGGUGGUGGAAAGUUUUUCGGUCAGGGAUGGGCCCGCGGCCUAUCAGCUAGUUGGUGGGGUAAUGGCCUACCAAGGCGACGACGGGUAGCCGGUCUGAGUGGGCGACCGGCCACACUGGGACUGAGACACGGCCCAGACUCCUACGGGAGGCAGCAGUGGGGAAUAUUGCACAAUGGGCGAAAGCCUGACGCAGCGACGCCGCGUGAGGGAUGAAGGCCUUCGGUGUAAACCUCUUCAGCAGGACGAAGCGAAAGUGACGGUACCUGCAGAAGAAGCACCGGCUAACUACGUGCCAGCAGCCGCGGU